rnacentral:tRNA from 1 species
ACAGUGGUGGUUGAGUGGUAGGAUUCUUUCCUUGCACGUGGGAGACCCAGGUUCGAUUCCUGUGCCAAUGCA